UACGUAGGCAGCGAGCGUUGUUCGGAGUUACUGGGCGUAAAGGGUGCGUAGGCGGUCGGGUAAGUCUGAUGUGAAAUCUCACAGCUUAACUGUGAAACUGCAUUGGAUACUAUCCGGCUCGAGGAAUGGAGGGGAGACUGGAAUUCCUGGUGUAGCGGUGAAAUGCGCAGAUAUCAGGAGGAACACCGGUGGCGAAGGCGGGUCUCUGGGCCGUAACUGACGCUGAGGAGCGAAAGCGUGGGGAGCGAACAGG
rnacentral:rRNA from 1 species